rnacentral:rRNA from 1 species
GGGCACGCUUUCCAAAUGGAACACGAAGCAGAAACUCACUUGUGGGUGGAUUAGUGGCGAACGGGUGACUUCACGUGAGUAACCUGCCCUUGACUCUGGGAUAAGCCUGGGAAACUGGGUCUAAUACCGGAUAUGACCUUCCAUCGCAUGGUGGUUGGUGGAAAGCUUUUGUGGUUUUGGAUGGACUCGCGGCCUAUCAGCUUGUUGGUGGGGUAAUGGCCUACCAAGGCGACGACGGGUAGCCGGCCUGAGAGGGUGACCGGCCACACUGGGACUGAGACACGGCCCAGACUCCUACGGGAGGCAGCAGUGGGGAAUAUUGCACAAUGGGCGCAAGCCUGAUGCAGCGGGGGCGCGUGAGGGAUGACGGCCUUCGGGUUGUAAACCUCUUUCAGUAGGGAAGAAGCGUAAGUGACGGUACCUGCAGAAGAAGCGCCGGCUAACUACGUGCCAGCAGCCGCGGUAAUACGUAGGGCGCAAGCGUUAUCCGGAAUUAUUGGGCGUAAAGAGCUCGUAGGCGGUUUGUCGCGUCUGCCGUGAAAGUCCGGGGCUCAACUCCGGAUCUGCGGUGGGUACGGGCAGACUAGAGUGAUGUAGGGGAGACUGGAAUUCCUGGUGUAGCGGUGAAAUGCGCAGAUAUCAGGAGGAACACCGAUGGGCGAAAGGCAGGUCUCUGGGCAUUAACUUGAACGCCUGAGGAGCGAAAGCAUGGGGAGCGAACAGGAUUAGAUACCCUGGUAGUCCAUGCCGUAAACGUUGGGCACUAGGUGUGGGGGACAUUCCACGUUUUCCGCGCCGUAGCUAACGCAUUAAGUGCCCCGCCUGGGGAGUACGGCCGCAAGGCUAAAACUCAAAGGAAUUGACGGGGGCCCGCACAAGCGGCGGAGCAUGCGGAUUAAUUCGAUGCAACGCGAAGAACCUUACCAAGGCUUGACAUGAACCGGACCGGGCUGGAAACAGUCUUUCCCCUUGUGGGCUGGUUUACAGGUGGUGCAUGGUUGUCGUCAGCUCGUGUCGUGAGAUGUUGGGUUAAGUCCCGCAACGAGCGCAACCCUCGUUCUAUGUUGCCAGCACGUGAUGGUGGGGACUCAUAGGAGACUGCCGGGGUCAACUCGGAGGAGGUGGGGACGACGUCAAAUCAUCAUGCCCCUUUAUGUCUUGGGCUUUCCCCGCAUGCCUACAUUGGCCCGGGUACCA